rnacentral:rRNA from 1 species
CCUACGGGCGGCAGCAGUGGGGAAUAUUGGGCAAUGGGCGCAAGCCUGACCCAGCAACGCCGCGUGAAGGAAGCAGGCUUUCGGGUUGUAAACUUCUUUUGACAGGGAAGAGCAGAAGACGGUACCUGUCGAAUAAGCCACGGCUAACUACGUGCCAGCAGCCGGGGUCAUACGGAGGUGGCAAGCGUGGUCCGGAUUUACUGGGUGGAAAGGGCGGGUAGCCGGGCUGAGAAGUCAGAUGUGAAAUCCGGGGGCUCAACCCCCGAACUGCAUUUGAAAAUGUUGGUCUUGAGUGCCGGAGAGGUAGGCGGAAUUCCUAGUGUAGCGGUGAAAUGCGUAGAUAUUAGGAGGAACCCCAGUGGCGAAGGCGGCCUACUGGACGGUGACUGACGCUGAGGCUCGAAAGCGUGGGGAGCAAACAGGAUUAGAUACCCGGGUAGUC